GCUCCCUUGGCUCAGCUGGAUAGAGCAUCUGACUACGAAUCAGAAGGUCGGGCGUUCGAAUCGCUCAGGGAGCGCCA
rnacentral:tRNA from 1 species